UCCCCCUCGGGACGCCGGACCGGCGGUCGU
rnacentral:sRNA from 1 species